GAUGAACGCUAGCGGCAGGCCUAAUACAUGCAAGUCGAGGGGCAGCGCAGUGUAGCAAUACAUGGGCGGCGACCGGCAAACGGGUGCGGAACACGUACACAACCUUCCUUUCAGCGGGGAAUAGCCCAGAGAAAUUUGGAUUAAUACCCCAUAGUAUAUUGGUCAGGCAUCUGACUAUUAUUAAAGAUUUAUCACUGAAA
rnacentral:rRNA from 1 species